AAGGCAGGAGGGCCCCCAAAUAUCGUUCCCCUCCCGCAGAGGCAGCGAGAGAAAGAAAAAAAGUCGCGGAGGAGGGCGGCCCGAGCGACCUAAGGGACAGGGCAGCGCCAGCAACCGAGGGAAAUUAGUCAGGGUGGGGUACAGGGAGACAAGCCCCCAGAAUUUAGGAAACUCCGAAGCUUGGAGCUGGAGUCCCGAAUUGACUCCAAUGACAACUGCUCCGGAUCUGUGCCAGGAGCCACACCCCGGGCUGCCACGCCCGGAGGGAGGGGGGCCCUAAGACCUGCUGCAUGGAAUGCCCCCCACUCGGAAAGCCUCAGUAAACUCCAGAAUGCAACUACUGCAUGUUCCAAUCUCCCGCCACCUUCCCAGUGUCCCAGCUAGGACCCCGACCACCUUAGCAAGAACUUACCUCUCCUUUGCAGUGGAAAAGAGGGAACCCAACCUAAAACCUACUUCACGCUGUUAUAGAGAAGAAGAUACAGAAAAUGAAAAUGAAAAUAAAAUUUGGUACUACAGCACAAAGGUCCAGCUUGCAGAAUUAAUUGACUGUCUAGACGAAGAUUAUUGGGAAGCAGAACUCUGCAAAUUUCUGGAAGAAAUGCGUGAAGAAAUCCACCAACACAUGAACAUAACUGAAGACCUGACUGAUAAGGUUCGGGGCAGUAACAAAUCCUUUCUGGCGGCAGCUAAUGGUUUUAAAAACAUAUAAACCUUAAAAGUUUUAAUAGUAUAAAAGGGUAUGCUGUGAGAAAU